GAUCCAAGAAAUAAUUAACAAAAUAACCAUGCUUUAGGAGCUUCGCGCGGGAUAUCUUGUUUGUUCUUAUGUGAGAUGACUAUUUAAUUGAGGUUAAAAACCUGAAAUAAUCUGUAUAUGUGACACAAUGGGUUGUAGGACAAUUUAGAUAUAUAAAGUCGUAUUAGUUGAAGUGUUAUAGUUACGGAAAGAUACAUGCUAAAAAUCAAUAUCUAAAGAUUGUACGUUUAGUCUUUUAACUUUGGAGCGUCUUUUAACCUUGGAGCAUUCAAACCCUUUCGAGCAUGUUAAGUUAUGUUUACAACAUUGAAAAUAUUGACCAUGCGCUUUGAUUCUAGGAGUACAUAAAAGAAAAACUGAGUUAGUAUUAAAAGUAAUAAAAACACCAAACAAUUUAUAGAGAGACUUUAUUGAAUCAUUUAGCAUACGAAACAAUAUAUUCCUUAGUUACAAUACCUAUAAGAACCUUCCCAUAGAAAUCGAAAUAGUUUGAAGGGUUAACAUGUUCUUUCUCAGCAACCUUGACACAUUGUUAUAUUGACUCAUCAUCAAAACACAAAACACAUAAAAAGAUGAGUGAAUUCAAUCAAAAUCAUACAAAGUGUUCGGCCUCUACGGUAGGAACCUUAGCCUUUAUGUGUCUCAUGCCAUGCGUUUGUUGUAAUGGUUUUCGAUAUACUUCUUAGUUGCAGCAUAUUUCUCCAUUGUUGAACUCAAAAUAAACUCUUCAUCCUCUGACGUUGGAGAUGGCAUAAUAUUUGCUACCAUCUGCUCUCCGUGAUCCGUUUCACAAUUCUACUUUUUUUUCUCCCAAAAACAUUAAAAAAUGUUGCUAUUUAUCUUCCAUUGGAUUUAUUUUUGUUGCAGCCAUCGAGGGAACGCCCAGAUGUCAUCUCUACUUUCUUAGUCUUUCCUUUUCGCAGGUGGUUUAAAUUUGCCGAUGAAUUUGUAAUUUCGGCUUACUCAUGGUAUUUAUUUUAGGUCAAACUUUAAACUUUGUAAUUUUUCUGUUUUCUUAAUUAUUAGAUUUUAUGAUUUGUUAAAAUAAAUGACUUUUAUAUGUACAACAUGUUAAAACAGAUUUUUAGUAUAACUUGAAAUUAAAUAAUAUUUAUUUAACAAAAUAUCAAAAAUUAGCCUUGAAAAUAUGAACAUGUAAAUAUAAUACUACUCCUAAAUUUAGUAAUACUAUUAGUUUUAAUAAAUUAUGUUCCAAUGCUUACGAUAUAUAGUAGGGGUGGGCCUUUUAUCUGAUACUUGAACCCGUAUCCUAACCCGACCCGAAAAACCCUAACCGAAAUCCGAACCGAUAUAGCAAAAUUCCUGAAUGGGUAUUAAUUUAGGAGAGAUUGGAUAUCCGAACUCAAAAGAAGGUAAUGUCCAAACCCGAAUGGAUAUCUGAAAAUAACUGAACAUAUGUAUACUUGUCCUUAUAUUUCUUGUUUACAUCUCUCAUUUUAUUUAGAGUAUUUAUAUUAAUGUUACACAUACUUUAAGAUAAUAUAAUUACAAAGAAAAUUAUUUGUCACUCAAUUAAAAUCCAUGUCAAGUUAUUUGUUUCAUGUAUUAACAAAAGUUACUUUCAAAAUUUCAAAACAAUAGACAAAUUAAUAUUUAUUUAUUUUUGAAAUGAUAUCUCCAAAUUUAUCAAUCAUUCAUUCUAUUAAAAAAUUAAAAAAUUAGUUAACUGAAAUCUCUGUAUUUUUAAAUAGAAUAAACCUAAAAAUGCAAAAUUAUUUUUUUUUUCAAAAUAUCAAUAUCCGAACCCAAUCCAAAAUAACCGAAUCCGAACUAAAAUACCCGAACCUGAUCCGAAUUAUAGAAAUACCGGAACGGGUUCAAUAUCCCUAUACCGAAAUACCUAACCCAAAUCCGAACGGGUAUCCGACAAAUAAUCUUUUGCAUUUUUUUAUGUACCCUUACUGUUUAAAAGUAAAAUUAUUUAUAUUUAUUUCAAACUUAUUAAUAUCAUUAAAUUAUGAAACUAAUAUGAAAAUUAUUUGACAUAUAUAUGGAUGAUGAUGAUUUAUUAGCGAAGGAGAAAAAGACGGUCUCCAUGUUUUAAUGUCAUUCUCGACUUUCCAUGUGGGGAAGAAACUUUAUAAUUUUAUACACCUCAGACCCAAAAUGCUAAUCUCUUUUGGCUUCUUCUUCGGUCUUCCCAGAUUCUCUGUAGAGGAGGAUCUAUGAAUCCAUCUCCUUCCCCUAUCUAAGCUUCUUCUUCUUCUUCUUUUCCAUCGGUUACUCUAUUUCAGAAGAUUUUUUUGACUGAAGGCAUUCACUCUGUUCCGGAAGCUUCCAGAAGCAUCAAUGGCCGAGAGUUUAUCUGUUUAUACGAAAAGGUUAUCUCUUUGUACCACUCUCAUCUAAUCUUUCGUGAUUUAAGCUAUAGGUUGCUCUGCAUGUUAGUUUUAUCAUUGGAAUCAACCUUCAAAAAUCUUCUCUUUUUUCUUUAUAAGAUUUAAAGUUAUGGUUUUUAAGCUCUAAAGGUUUACUUAUAUUCUCAGGCUUUAAUGUUUGAUGUAAACAAGACAGUGCAUAAAUUGUAGUAAAACAACCAAAGAGAUCACAUCUAUUCUUGAAGAUGAUAGUUUUAGUGUUUGCAAUGGUGUGUGGUCUCUACAUUUGCUCAGUCUGCUUAAACCAGUUUAGUGUCCAAACCUCACAACUUGUUCGAACUCGUAUCACUACUCGGAUUCAAUACCCAAAGCCAGAGACUUUCAAUAGGUAAGUAACUCUUCUUGUUUCUUUGUUUUCUGUGUUUGUUUAUUCACUUCUAACUUUGAAACUGAUCUGAAUGUGGGCAUAAUCCGGUGAGGUUCUUUGCGAUACUAUCAAUACAGAGAUCAGGAAGCAGUUGGUUUGAUAUCUCUCCACCGAUUCGUUACCUAGUGCUUGAAAAUAUGACGACCACGAAUCAGUUAAAUGGAGACGCUCUACUGCUUGUGUAGGUGGAAGCUCAAGCAACAACCGGAAACCUCGGUGUUAUCGAGAGUUAGCAUCGUUAUUUGUCAAAAUUGCUGCCGCGUAGGUGAAACGAUUCAAGAGAAACCCUCGAACAGAUCUAAGCAAAGCAUUGAAGACGAAUCGUGGAGGAGAGUCAAUAGGAUUUAACACGAAGCCAUUAAUCAAACCGUUGCAGGUCGGGAGAAGAAUCAAAAAAGUCACCCUAGCCGUCGCACGAAGAGAAGCGAUGAAUUUUGUUUUCUCGCUGCAGUCGUAUUAGGGAUAGGCGGAGCUCAUUAUCGUUGGACCGGAAACACUUCUAAUCUUAAAGCCCAUGAACACACUAAAGAACAAAACUGAAAAUACUGAAGUUUAAUGAAACGAUGCGGUUUGUCUUAUGGACACGUGUCACUACGAUAUGAAAGGACUUAUCUAUGUGGAUCCUAGGUGUCUCUCUAAGGAGAGAGCAAACCAUACUUUAUAUAUAAAGAUGUCAGUUUCCAGCGUGUGAACGUGUAAUAUUGCUUUAAAAUCCUUUUUUAUACAAAAAUGUAACUAUAAGAAAGAAAAUGAACUUCUUAA